AUGCCCACUUUGGCAGCAUAUAUACAAAACAUUAAAACAAUACAAAGAUUAGCAUGGCUUCUGUGCAUGGAUGACAUGCAAAUUUGUGAAGCAUUUCAUAUUUUU
ensembl:snRNA U6 U6 spliceosomal RNA